GUGAGGAAUAUUGGUCAAUGGACGAGAGUCUGAACCAGCCAAGUCGCGUGAAGGAAGACGGUUCUAUGAAUUGUAAACUUCUUUUGUGCAGGAAUAAAGUGGGUUACGUGUAACCUUUUGUAUGUACUGUACGAAUAAGGAUCGGCUAACUCCGUGCCAGCAGCCGCGGUAAUACGGAGGAUCCGAGCGUUAUCCGGAUUUAUUGGGUUUAAAGGGUGCGUAGGUGGAUUGAUAAGUCAGCGGUGAAAGUUUGCAGCUUAACUGUAAAAUUGCCGUUGAAACUGUCGGUCUUGAGUGCAAAUGAGGUAGGCGGAAUGUGUUGUGUAGCGGUGAAAUGCUUAGAUAUAACACAGAACUCCGAUUGCGAAGGCAGCUUACUGGGAUGCAACUGACACUGAUGCGCGAAAGCGUGGGUAUCAAACAGGAUUAGAUACCCUGGUAGUCC
rnacentral:rRNA from 1 species